UUGGAAAAACCCUUAUUUUUGUUUGGCCUUCACAUACAUACUCACACUUACAAAUCCUUUUUCACAAUCCUCAUUCACGUCGAACUGUACAUAUUACUAACAAGUCAAUACCCUCACGAUAACAUCACACUUUAUUCAAAGAAAUCACAAUUACAUAACAUAAACAAAUCCUGUUACAACACAGCCAUUAACCAAAAACAAUCUUUUCCAAACUUCAUUCUCAAGUCUUAUAUUUUUUACAGGGUUCAGAUUCAAAAAAGGUAUGGAAUAAUUACCAACCGCCGCAAAGCUCCUGACCGCGCAACACGACGAGGUAACACCUCACACUCUCUCCGCCACUCAGAUCGUCCCCUCCGGACACGCAUUCGUCACCGCCACGCCCUUCUGAUCACUCCUCAUUCGUCGAUCCUUCAUGUCAGUAGUCGCUCAAUGAACUAA